rnacentral:rRNA from 1 species
CAUCGGCUAACUCCGUGCCAGCAGCCGCGGUAAUACGGAGGAUGCGAGCGUUAUCCGGAUUUAUUGGGUUUAAAGGGUGCGUAGGCGGUUUAUUAAGUUAGUGGUUAAAUAUUUGAGCUAAACUCAAUUGUGCCAUUAAUACUGGUAAACUGGAGUACAGACGAGGUAGGCGGAAUAAGUUAAGUAGCGGUGAAAUGCAUAGAUAUAACUUAGAACUCCGAUAGCGAAGGCAGCUUACCAGACUGUAACUGACGCUGAUGCACGAGAGCGUGGGUAGCGAACAGGAUUAGAUACCCUGGUAGUCCACGCCGUAAACGAUGCUCACUGGUUCUGUGCGAUAUAUUGUACGGGAUUAAGCGAAAGUAUUAAGUGAGCCACCUGGGGAGUACGUCGGCAACGAUGAAACUCAAAGGAAUUGACGGGGGCCCGCACAAGCGGAGGAACAUGUGGUUUAAUUCGAUGAUACGCGAGGAACCUUACCUGGGUUUAAAUGGGAAAUGCCGUAUUUGGAAACAGAUAUUCUCUUCGGAGCGUUUUUCAAGGUGCUGCAUGGUUGUCGUCAGCUCGUGCCGUGAGGUGUCGGGUUAAGUCCCAUAACGAGCGCAACCCUUACCGUUAGUUGCUAGCAUGUAAUGAUGAGCACUCUAACGGGACUGCCACCGUAAGGUGAGAGGAAGGCGGGGAUGACGUCAAAUCAGCACGGCCCUUACACCCAGGGCUACACACGUGUUACAAUGGCCGGUACAGAGGGCCGCUACCAGGUGACUGGAUGCCAAUCUCAAAAGCCGGUCGUAGUUCGGAUUGGAGUCUGUAACCCGACUCCAUGAAGUUGGAUUCGCUAGUAAUCGCGCAUCAGCCAUGGCGCGGUGAAUACGUUCCCGGGCCUUGUACACACC